AAAUAAAACAACUUAACCUUCUUAAAAAACACAACAAACCCAAAUGAAAACGGUGUCCACUAAGCCCAAACCAAAACAACAAAAAUACUAAAAGCUAGCUAAACACCAUUUUCUACAUACCCAAUGCCUAGUGUAAAAAUCCCGAGUUUCCUCCUCUCCUUUAGGAAAUCAAGAAAACUCUCAGAAUCCCAAGACUCCUCACUGUAACAUUUCGUCUUCUGGUAAAAGUUCUCGAACCUUUACACCGUUCUAUGACAAAUCCCGUCUUCUAUUAUCUUUUUCCACUGCCGCUACUGCUGACUCCGGUACUUGUCCUUCCAAGUGGGCUGUCUCCUUUCGGUUCAAACCCUCCCUAGCCACCACAUGUGCAACUUCAUUUCCCUUUCUUGAUAUUUUCUUGAAACAACAUAAACAUUUUGCUUAGAGCUUUAAUGUUUGUAAUAUACAAGCUUAUUUUUUUAUCUAUCUUCUUCUUCGCUUUGGAUUUUUCUGAUGACAAUGAGGGCAUCUCCCUCUAUUAUUACCUGUCGAUAUUCAAGAUCUAGCCCUGUCUGAACUGCCUACAAACAAGCCAACGCCUCAACCGCAAACAGAGUUGGAAUAUGCAAAUUAACCACUGUUUUGGACCCCAAAAUAACCCAUCUAAAUCCUGACAGACAAUAUCCGUACCAGUGAUAUUCAAUUGUUUUUCAAAAGCAAUGUCAAAGUUAAUUUUAACCUUAGAAAAGUUUGGCGGUCGCCAUUGCUCCUCCUCUAUCCUCUGCUUAAGUAUCUUAUUGUUUACCCUAUCCCAGUCACUAAGAUAUGCCUUAGUAAAUUGUAUAGUUUCUAACAUACUCAUCAAAACUUCAAAUUGUUAAAAAUCGGAAUAUAAUUGUUAUAAAUCCUCCAGUUUGUAAUUUUGAUUUUCGUUGGCAAGUCUGUUUUCCAUAGGCUUUUUAGGACAACUUUGUUUGUAAUAUCAAUAGUUUCGACAUCUAGUCUAGAGAUCUCUUUAAGUAGACUUCUAUAAUCGUUCCUCACCGUAUACUCUCUCGUUGACUCUCCACCCCAUACCCUAUGAUCCUCCUUCAGAUGUUUUACUAGAGGAAUUUGCAAGAUUGCUUCUGCCUCUUCCCUUGUAAACAAAAAGGGAUCCAAGCAUCCUGCCAGAUGGAUAUACAAUCACCGUUACCCACUCUCCAAGCCAUUCCAUUCUUUAAUAAUUUCUUCGUCGCCCAUACGUUCCUCUAGGUAUAAGAAGGAUAAUUGGGGGUUCAGCCGAGCAAUGAGAUGAGGACCACGUGGAGUGAUGAAUAUGUUUGAUUGAGAUCCUCAAGUCACAAAUAUCUAAGUAAAAACAAAACUAAUUGUAUUUUUGAGACUGCAAUUAGAUGCUUCCCUGUUCGUUUGGGCAGGGACUUGGUAGUAAUAAAAACAAAACUUGAUUAGUGCAGAUGAUUGAGGUCACACAACUACCUUUACGAUGCUUCCUACGUUUAUGGUUAUGUCUUUUUCAGUUUACUUAAGGUUUUCUUUUUCAAAGAACAAAAAUGAAGUUCAAUGAUCAAUGAAUAAGGGGAAUUGUAAA